CCUGAUGGCUCAGCUGGUAAAGAACCUGCCUGCAAUGCAGGAGACCUGGGUUUGAUUCCUGGGUCAGGA
rnacentral:tRNA from 1 species